UACGAAGGGAGCGAGCGUUGUUCGGAAUCACUGGGCUUAAAGAGUGCGUAGGUGGCUAUGUAAGUCAGGAGUGAAAUCCCCGAGCUCAACUCGGGAACUGCUCUUGAGACUGCAUGUCUGGAAUUCGGUAGAGGUUAGUGGAAUACCCAGUGUAGAGGUGAAAUUCGCAGAUAUUGGGUGGAACAUCAGUGGCGAAGGCGACUAACUGGACCGACAUUGACACUGAGGCACGAAAGCGUGGGUAGCAAACAGG
rnacentral:rRNA from 1 species